rnacentral:lncRNA from 1 species
GGGCGGCGGCGGCGGCGGCGGCGGCGGCUUCUUGCUGGAGAUGCCUCUCUGGGGAUUGAGAGCCCUGCGGAGGGAGGCGGCAGGCAUGGCGGCAGGUAAGGGGCGCCCCGAGGGCGGAAAUGGCGCGCGGAAUUCCCCUUUCAGCGACGCCCGACGUGGAGCUUUUGGCGCCCUCGUGCUUAUUUGUGGGGCGGGGAGCCGCUCUGGCCGCGUCGCCCCGUCGCUGAAUCCCGGCCUGGGUGAGAAUGGCUGAGAGAGAGAGCGGUGGUCGUGGUCUGUGGUGGCCAGAGGUGACGGGGAGGCCCUCUGCCCAUGCUCAGAGGUUCUGCGGCGGCCUUUAUUUUCGCGAGGAGCCCUUGCUGGAGCAGCUCUGGCCCCAGUCGCGCUCCUGGGGCGAGUUCUUGGCCACGUGCUCCGAGGGGCGGAAGGGGCGCUUUGCCCCGCCGGGGACGGAAGGGUUGGGACGCGGGAGCUUGCCUCCUUCCUGCUGGCGCUGAAGUCGCCGCCCGCAGCAGAAUCGCGGCCGUGUUUGCGAAGGAUCAGUGCUGGGCGACAAGCGCCAGGGGAAUCGGGAGGUGAAAACUGUGCUCGGUGGUUUGCUAGCGCGCGCCGGCGGCUUCCGCGCGUAGUGAGAGCGCCCGUCUGCCCUGGUUCUUUCCUUAUCCUGGUUUUGCUGAAGCAUUUCUCGCGCGCCCCAGUUCCGGAAAAAGUUGGAAGGGGUGUGUGUGUGGGGGGUUUCAGCCCCCCUUGAUCCAGUUGUUAAGCGCCCAGAGGCGCAUCUGACCCAGCCGAUCUCUCGCUCCCGCGCCAGUCGCGCACUUGAGGAAUGGGCGCAUUCUUUCCCGCCCAGGAUUUGCGGCUUCGAAUCUGCCCCCUGGUUGUUGCGUAUUGUGUGGCUGGCGACCAAGAGCGCUCUCUCUCUCUCUCUCUCUCUCAAAAGACAAGAAAGUUCUUUUGUUUUGCCUCCCAAGCUGCCCGGCAGCAGCUUCUGUGCAAAGGUCACCGCUGACAUGCGCGGAGGGGACCCCUCAGAGCUCGCCCUGCAGGAUCUCCGGAUCCUCUACCUCCUUCGCCUCGUGGGCCGUCGCCAAAGGUCCCCGGAGCGAUCCCCGACCGGCUCACGUCGUCUGUGGCUAUUAACCCGUGUUCCUAUUCAGCGUCGAUAGUCCUAAGAUUUCACCUGUAGCUCCUAGGUUGCAGUGACCUUAGCAGUCAGUUUUCCACUACUUUCCCGAAUCAUCAUGACCUCACCAGCCCCCAAAGCAUCAUUUUUUGCUUCCAACAAGUCCCGCAUCAUUCUGGUCCUGGUCAUUCCUUAGAAAAUCCCAGAGAUAGGAGGAGGACAACAACAACAUGCUUAGCCGAUUGAGCAAAGUUCCUCCCAGUUGCUCUUGUUCCUGCGCUGGUGACUCGUUCGCAAGAUGGAAAGCAAAGUUCGGCCACACUUCUUCCUUUUAUAGUCCUCCCAUCCCUUCUAAAAUUUAGCUGCUGACGUAUUGGGAGCAAAAUGGGGAGUUGAGAACAAAUGCGUCUCUCUAGACGGGGUGUAUAUGCAGUAUAUGAUUCCAUAUCUACGCUCAGCCUACACUGGUAUGCCUGCGGGGUUUACAUGCAUAGUAUUGUGAUCCUUAUAUUAGAAGGACAUAAAGCAGGUGAUUUAGGCAGUCUAGGAUUUUGAAACAAGACGACCUAUUCUGCUAUGCUUUGUUUUAUAUAUAAAACACACACAUCCUAGCACAAUCUUGAGGGAAGCUGGCAAAAUGGGAUAUACGCUUCAAUUUUUUGUUUUAAUAGAUUAACUGAUAGAUUAAUAGAUGCGAGCACUGUGUGUAUACCUACUCACAUGCAAUGUGGGUACAGUAAACUACAAAUAAGGCAUGUAUAUAUUAAUGGAAGCACUCAAAACAUAUACAUGUGAAAAUGUGUGUGUGUGUGUGUGUGUGUGUAUAUAUAUACACAUACAUAGAUAAAUGAGGGAGCUCUCUUUACUCAUAUUUUCAGAAUAUUUCUGACAAGUAAUUAGCCAUAUGUUUAUGCUGUGCAUAUAUCUACCCUUUCUUGUUUCUCCUUUAUCUCUCUCUUUUGCCUAGGAGAAUAUUAAAAUGCCAGUAAAUUUCAUCUCAGAGAGACGGAGAGAUCCACUUUCUUUUAACCCUUUGGACAAGUAUUGACAUUUUAGUAUACAUAUUGCAUAACACCUAUGAAAAGCAAGGUUACUGGUUUGUUGGUGCAAGCAGCUCCUCCUCUCUUUCUCUUGGUAAACAACAAAAACAGCUCUUUUAUUUUCAUUACGAAACAAGAAGAAAGUAUCUCCCAUUGAUGCUGGUAUCUUUGAAACUUGUCUGAAGCCUUGGAUUCGAUUCCUUCAUUGUUGCGGGAUAUUAAUCCUUCUAAAAGGUAUAGAGAAGUAGCCCCCCCCCCCCCCCGCUUUGUGGGGUUGAAGGUUGAGGAAGGAUCAUUGUGCCCCUCCAAAAGAAUAGGUCUAUGGUUCGCACCAUGACCUUUCUCAGUGAUUUGAAUAAGCUGGAGUUCCCAGAAAUCCAUCUGCCUUUUGUGUGUGUCAAUUUUGUCUAAUCUUUUCAACCUCUCCAUAGAUUCUCAAAGAAGGGGGGAAAGUACCUUCCCAUCUGACUGCACCCCCUUCCCCUUCCUUCUCCAAGUAAAAGCAUUAAAUUGACCUUGUUUAGGUGAUGAACUGACAUCUGCUACAAGUAAUUCUGAAUCAACAUCCGAGGUGUUAAUGGAGGACAGGGAGCUAUGAGGAUGCUGUCUCCAUCCCUAUAUAUACAAACCUCUUGCUAAUCUUAAAGAACCUCAUGUGAGAUUUGAGGCUGCAGUCCUAACCCCUUACCUGGGCAAAUGCUCCAUUCAAGCAGCAUUCUAUGGCCUUUUUAAUGUGUUUGUGAGAGGCAGG